GGGUUUAUAGCUCAGUGGUAGAGUGAAUGCUUAGCACGCAUGAGGCCCUAGGUUUAAUCCCCAGCACCUCCA
rnacentral:tRNA from 1 species